GACGAACGCUGGCGGCGUGCCUAACACAUGCAAGUCAAAGGGAAGCAACUUCGGUUGUAAGUACUUGGCGCAAGGGUGAGUAAUGUAUAGGUAAUCUGCCCUUUGGACUGGGAUAACCCCGAGAAAUCGGGGACAAUACCAGAUGAAGCAGCGGAGCCACAUGGUUCUGCUGUUAAAUGAUUUAUCGCCAAAGGAUGAGCCUGUAUCCCAUCAGGUAGUUGGUAAGGUAAUGGCUUACCAAGCCUACGACGGGUAGCUGGUCUGAGAGGAUGAUCAGCCACAUUGGAACUGAGACACGGUCCAGACUCCUACGGGAGGCUG
rnacentral:rRNA from 1 species